GUUCGGAGCACGCGCGGCUGUCUCUGUGUGCCGCAGUGAGGCAACACGUGGUCUGCUCUCUCGCUCAUAAUGGCCGCCGUCCAUUGUGAAGAACCUCCUUUAAGAUCAGGCUUGCUGAUUUUGAGGCCACAUGGAUGAUGGUCCAAAAAAGCAAAGGCUUUUUGAGAUAAUCAAAGGGGCUGCACCGUGCUCUGAUCUGAACAAUCUGGUGUGAACAUGCCAAUGGGCAUCAUAUGGACACAUGCAGAGGCAACACACGGUCUGCUCUCUCGCUCAUAAUGGCGGCCCUCAUUUGUGUAGAACCUCCUUUAGGAUCAGGCAUGCCGAUUUUGAGGCCACAUGGAUGAGUCUUGGAAGACCAAAGGCUUUUUCAUAUAAUCAAAUUGGGCUGCUGCAUGCUCUGAGCUGAAGAAUGUAGCUGGAACACACCGGUGGACUUAAUAUGGAGACAUGCAAAGGACCACUCUGGAUAUAACGUCCCAACUGAAGUCACCAGAUGCCGUGUUGUGCAAAUGAACUUGUUUUGAUGGUUUAGUAACUGUCGAUCAUGUAGAGGAAAGCAACAAGUCAUACCUGGUUCAUGUCUUGCAUGGUGUGGAUUACUAACAACUGCAGUUCACUUCUGUUCAGUCAAAGGUGCUGUGUAAAGACCUGCAGAGUUCAGUUAAGAACUAAAUUUAAAUUGUAAAAUUUACAAACUUCAGUUUCUCCAAGCUGAAGUGUGUUUAUUGUAAAUGCUCAUGGAAACGUCUUAUUUGCUCUGUGAAAGAAUAAAACACUCUGAAGGA